CAAGAAAAUGCUGUAGCAAACCAAGAUAAUGUAUUCUGAAAUGCAAAUGCAGCAUUGGCACUGAGCGCAAGAAGACAGAGUAUAAUCGCGGGAAGAAAAGGUGGAGAAGAAGAAACGGUGGUCAGAUCCUCAUCGCCGGCGGAAAUUCUAGUGUUGAGAAUCUCCAUUUUGCCUCUGUUUCUAUCCCAAAGUAAUCUCAAGAGAUGAGCUACUGAUCCUUGCAGCCCAACGUCACCGACGGUCUUCAACGCAAUCGCACAGGAUCUGGUCGACGGUGGCAAGUGGUCUCUGGCUCAGGCGACUGGAGACUACGGCCGAAGUGAUUGACUGGAUGUUGUGGCUACAGAGGAGUGAUGAGUCGGACGAUAUUGCACAAAAUUUGUCUAUCCCAGAGAGUAAUGGGCUUUUGAUCUAUUUAUACGAAGCCUUUAACUCUCCCACGGAUGAAAUGAGAGACGAAACUUAUGCAAGAUUGAAAGAGGCGUGCUGAUCGCCAAACAAGACUAAUCGUUAUUCCCACCUCUCCCAUUUCGCGAUUAGGGUUUUCUGCUUACCAAGCAAUGCCUAACAGGGUAGUGAUUACGUAUUGUCUGAGAAAAUGUUCAUCUCAUCGAAGGUAAAAUCCAUUCAGGUUGGACAAGAGAGAUAGAUGCCAUGAAUGCAAAGCAGGAAAUUCCUUACUGUUAUUUUAUAGAAAGAGCACAGUUGGAUCACUUGGAAUUUCUUAUAUAAUCUUUGGCUUAUUAUCCAAACAAAGUGUUCUGCCUUUAAGUAAAGAUGGCAAAUUAAGGGCCUCGCUCAAUUCUGAUAAGGAGAAAGGACAUGUCUUUCUUAUCAAUUGUUUGAUUAAGGAAAUGUGUAGUUUUGAACAACAUUUUCGGACGCUUAAAAAACACAAUUACAACAAAAAGGAAAAGAGAAGAAAGAAAGGCUCAGCUUUAUUCCAAGUUUGAAAAUGAGUGAUAGAGAGAAUAUGGAGGGGUAAGGACAGUAUAGCCUGCAAAAUGUCACGCUAAAAGUUUCCUAUAUCUCUAUCAAAAUUCUAAAUAAGCAUGGUGGGGGCAAGGGGAUGAAUUUAACGCUUGAAAUGUAAAUGAGAAAUUCAAAGGACAGUGGCGGACACAAUGAGAUGUUGUUGCUGUUAAGAGAAAGAGGCAGAGAGAGUCAUUGAAUUAAUCACCUUCCAUUGCAUCACAACAACAGCAUGAGAACAAGUCUGGUUAAGGAACGCCUCAAACUAAAGUUCACAGUGUCCUUCCUUCUCAUUAUUCACAGAUUUGGCUUGGGAUGCAAACAAGAUAAUGGACAUAUGAUAGUGUAGAUUGAGUGUGAAUAAGUGAAUUAUAUGUGUCAUUUGUUGCUGACAAAAUAAGAAGAACAACAUAGGGCCCUCAUUUUCCAAAGCAGCCUUUGAAUUUCAAGGAAGAGAAAAGCACUGCAUGUGAUCUCUGCAUAGUUGUGAGCAAAAUGGGUUUCAGAAGGAAUUUUCUUCUAUGUUCAUGGAGAGGAAGAGGAACAAAACCCAGCUUCGUUUCGGUGUCUUUUUCUUCUUCAUCUUCUCAAAUUUCACAAUCUUCAGCUCUGCUAUUACAGGUCAAGAUACUAAGAGGUGUCCAUGCUAGCUGAUGCAGAUUUCCAGAAGAAAUUUGAGGAGAAAAUUGGAGAAAUUUCACUUUCAAGGAGGUUUCUGGUUGGCAUAGGGUCAUCACCACCACGGUGCAGCUCCAAGUGUGGCAGAUGUACACCAUGCAGGGCGGUUCAUGUGCCAGUGCCACCCGGAACUCCGGUAACUUCCGAAUAUUACCCCGAAGCAUGGAGGUGCAAAUGUGGCAAUAAGUUGUACAUGCCAUGAAUACAUAUUGCGUAUAUAUAUUAUUUCGUUAUAUCUAUAUCGUAGCACUCCAUUUACCUUACUGACCAUAUAAAUGGACUCUUCAGUUGUUUCAGUUUUAGUUUGCCUAUGGUAGAUAUCUGUUAUGGUAAAAAUACAGCAU